UGGGGAAUCUUGCGCAAUGCGCGAAAGCGUGACGCAGCAACGCCGCGUGGGGGAAGAAGGCCUUCGGGUUGUAAACCCCUUUCAGUUGGGACGAAGCUUCCAGGGUGAAUAGCCCUGCGGAGUGACGGUACCUUCACAAGAAGCCCCGGCUAACUACGUGCCAGCAGCCGCGGUAAUACGUAGGGGGCUAGCGUUGUCCGGAAUUAUUGGGCGUAAAGCGCGUGUAGGCGGUUCGGUAAGUCUGCUGUGAAAGUCCUGGGCUCAACCCUGGAAUGCCGGUGGAUACUGUCGGACUAGAGUGCGGAAGAGGCGAGUGGAAUUCCUGGUGUAGCGGUGAAAUGCGCAGAUAUCAGGAGGAACACCAAUUGCGAAGGCAGCUCGCUGGGACGUUACUGACGCUGAGACGCGAAAGCGUGGGGAGCGAACAGG
rnacentral:rRNA from 1 species